CGGAGGUGGUGGUGGUGACUUGUACUUGUAUGAAGGUGGAGGUGGAGACUCAUACUUGUACGGAGGUGGUGGUGGUGACUUGUACUUGUAUGGAGGUGGAGGUGGGGACUCAUACUUGUACGGAGGUGGUGGUGGUGAUUUGUACUUGUAUGGAGGUGAAGGUGGUGACUCAUACUUGUACGGUGGAGGUGCGGGUGACUUGUACUUGUAUGAAGGUGGAGGUGGUGACUCAUACUUGUACGGUGGAGGUGGUGGUGG